ensembl:snRNA U6 U6 spliceosomal RNA
UGCUCGCUUUGGCAGCACAGUACUAAAGUUGGCACAAUGCAGAGAUGAAUAACGUGGCAUUUGCUGAAGGAUGACCAGCAAAUCUGUGAAGUGUUUCAUGCUUUU